rnacentral:tRNA from 1 species
GCCGGGAUAGCUCAGCUGGUCAGAGCGUCGGAAUCAUAAUCCGCAGGUCGGGGGUUCAAGUCCCCCUCCCGGUACCA